CGGGGCGUGGCGCAGCUUGGUAGCGCGCGCCGUUCGGGUCGGCGAGGUCGUGGGUUCGAAUCCCGCCGCCCCGA
rnacentral:tRNA from 1 species